rnacentral:rRNA from 1 species
AUGAAAUGGGGUGAUAGGAAUACAAAAUUCUUUCAGCGAAAGGCCACAUGGAGAGCUAAGAAGAAUAAUAUCUCGGCCCUUAAAAGGAGCGACGGUUCCCUCUCUCAUGAUGUGGACGAGAUGAAAGGUAUCACAAACUCUUUUUUUAAGAAUCUCUACUCUUGUGACAAGACAGUAAACCCUUCUUAUAUUAUCUCUCUUGUGAAACCUCUGGUGAAUGAUGAGAUGAAUGAGGAUCUUUGUAAGCCUUUUUCUGAACAAGAGAUUAGUGAUGCGCUCUUUCAAAUUGGUCCAUUGAAGGCUCCAGGGCCAGAUGGGUUUCCAGCUGGCUUUUUCCAUAGGAAUUGGGGUUUGCUAAAGGAAGAUAUUGUUCGUGCAGUUCAACAAUUCUUUAUAUCGGGAUGUAUGCCGGAGGGGAUAAAUAAUACAACUAUUGUGCUUAUUCCGAAAGUGAAGAACCCCCAGUCGAUAAAAGAUUUUCGGCCAAUCAGUCUAUGCAAUGUCAUAUAUAAAAUUAUCUCCAAGUGUCUUGUCAACAGACUGAGACCUCGGUUGGACGGUAUGAUUUCUCCAACCCAAAGUGCGUUCAUCCCUGGAAGAUUAAUUUCUGAUAAUGCUCUUAUAGCUUUUGAAUGUAUGCAUUCGUUGAGUACGCUAAAAGACAGCCGAGGUGAAUAUUGUGCGUACAAGCUGGACCUAGCCAAGGCAUAUGAUCGUGUAGACUGGAGGUUCUUGGAAAGUAUGCUUCGGGCAUAUGGUUUUGCUCCAGUGUGGGUUAAGUGGAUUAUGAUCUGUGUGACGUCAGUGAAAUUUUCUGUGCGGUUUAAUGGUCAGUUGUUAGAUUCGUUCCAACCUUCUUGUGGCCUCAGGCAAGGGGAUCCUCUAUCUCCUUACCUUUUCCUAUUUGUGGCUGAGGCUCGGUCAUUGUUACUCCAUGAUGCUACGGCGAAGGGGGUUAUCAGGAUUUUCGGCUGA